rnacentral:rRNA from 1 species
GAUGAACGCUGACAGAAUGCUUAACACAUGCAAGUCGAUUCAAGUUACCUUCGGGUAAUGAGGAUGGCGGACGGGUGAGUAACGCGUAAGGAACUUGCCUCUUGGUCUGGGACAACUGUUGGAAACGACAGCUAAUACCGGAUAUUAUGAGAUUCUCGCAUGGGAAACUUAUGAAAGCUAUAUGCGCCAAGAGAGAGCCUUGCGUUCCAUUAGCUAGUUGGUGGGGUAACGGCCCACCAAGGCGACGAUGGAUAGCCGGCCUGAGAGGGUGAACGGCCACAAGGGGACUGAGACACGGCCCUUACUCCUACGGGAGGCAGCAGUGGGGAAUAUUGGACAAUGGACCAAAAGUCUGAUCCAGCAAUUCUGUGUGCACGAUGAAGGUCUUCGGAUUGUAAAGUGCUUUCAGUUGGGAAGAAGCAAGUGACGGUACCAACAGAAGAAGCGACGGCUAAAUACGUGCCAGCAGCCGCGGUAAUACGUAUGUCGCAAGCGUUAUCCGGAUUUAUUGGGCGUAAAGCGCGUCUAGGCGGAAAAAUAAGUCUGAUGUUAAAAUGCGGGGCUCAACUCCGUAUUGCGUUGGAAACUGUUUUUCUAGAGUACUGGAGAGGUGGGCGGAACUACAAGUGUAGAGGUGAAAUUCGUAGAUAUUUGUAGNNNUGCCGAUGGAGAAGUCAGCUCACUGGACAGAUACUGACGCUGAAGCGCGAAAGC